rnacentral:pre_miRNA from 11 species
AACCGCACGGGAAGAUCGCUUAUCCCGUGCGGGCGGCUUAAGCGACCCGCACGGGAUAAGCGAUCUUCCCGUGCGGUC